UGCCCUAAAAAAAGUCCCGCAUCAGCUCUUGAGAGCAGGUUCCUUAAAGGUGAACAAUAUUCCACAUACAAGGACUUUUUCAGCACCAUGCAUUAGAAAUGGAAGUGAAUGUUUAUUAUUUUUUGUAUAAGUUGGUUGAUAUGGCUUUUCAGCUUCCCUCAGUAUCAUUAUCCAAAUUUUGUAGAUGACACUAAAGCUCAGAGGAGUUAAACCAUUUUCCUUAAAUCACAUAGCUUUAAAUAGGAAAACCAGAUAUGAAAAGCAGAUUUUUUUUCUAAAUUAAAAAACCAAAAACAAAAACACGUGAGCUCUUGCUUUACCCUAGCACAUAGUCUUGCCAUCUGUUUUCUCCACACCAGGUGAUUCCUGUAACAUUCAUUCACAUAACAAAUACAAAUAAAUGAGUGGAUUCAUUCAUCAGAUAUUAAUUCAGAAUCCCUUUUGUGCCUUCCAGAAAUCUGGACCAUCUCACAACCCCCAGAGAGUCUCAGCUACAAGGAACAAGUGAUAAUGCCAUCCCACUUUUAUAAACACACACACACACACAUGCAAUACACACACAAUCAUUUAAUCAUUUUUAAUUAUUUAAUUAUUUUUUAAAAAUCAGUGACACUUUAGCUGGGCAGGUCUAGAUAGGUCUUCUUUGCUGGGACGUGUCUUUUUCUGUCCUGGAAUACCCUAAACUUCACAUUUUGGCAGCGUGAGUUUUCCCUUUGUGACUUUCUCCUUCUUCCCUUUUUUCCUCCUUCUUUGCAGAGAAUGAGUAGCCACUGCACCUUGCCCUGCGCCAUCAAUGAGAAGAUCUGCUCUUAGUAGAGCCCUGCUUUCCCGCUGAAGGCCCUGAAAUCACCUGUGUUCCAGGCCACCCACUAAGGAUAAACAAAGCUUCCCUGAUAUGGGGAAUUAGCUCAAGUGGUAGAGCGCUUGCUUAGCAUGCAAGAGGUAGUGGGAUCAAUGCCCACAUUCUCCAAGCUUUAUUAUUUAGGUACCCAAACCCGAGUCAGUGUCUGAGAGCAAGACACUGCUCUCGGUGUCUUUGGUUCAAGACAUAGGAGCAGCAACAAUACAGGACUGGUGACAGCUUCCUGCUGGCAUUCAGUAUAGUGUAGAUCUACUGUGUAAUUAAUUUUCUGUUUCUUCGAGGAGCUGUGAAACCAAAGGACAUAUAAAACUGCUCUUUUCUCCCUGUUUCUGCCUGCAGCUUGGUCCUAAAUGUGAGACAAUUGUGAAAAGUGGAGGACAGAGCCACCUGGUUAAAUACAGCCCCAGCUUUCUGGUGAGAGGACUGAAACCAAGAUGUGUCAAGUAACUAGAAUGUGCCUGGACAGAUACUGUAGAAAGCAAAACCAUAAAGUUGUUCAUGAGCUUGUGGACGCACCUGCCAGCUGUGAAUAAGUGGCUCUAAUCCCGAACAACUUACCUAAAAAGAGCCUGAGAGCUGAACUGUGCAAUGGCCCACUUUCCAGUCCUCACUGACCACUGGGUUGCACACACUUUGGAGAUCUCUGAACAGCAGUGUCAAGGCUUUCAAAUAGAGUUAUCUUUGAAACGACAACACAUGAAAGUCUGGUUGGUACUUGGAGCUUAAAUACAAGGCAAUUGUGUGCCUGCAAAAACAAAAAUAGCAAUAUUAUCCUUAAGAUUUCAACAAGACACAGUGUCUCAUCACAUAAUCCAAAGAAGUCCAGGUUACAAGCCCCACAAUAUUCAGCAUUAUGAAAAAACAGGGAGAUCUUAAUUCACAUGGCAAAGAGAAUCCUCGAAUAACAAUAUUGAGAGGACACAGAUGUCAAAAUCAUCUGACACAUACAUUAAAGCAGAUAUUAUAACAAUGCUCCUAGAAUCGGGGAUAACAUUCGUGAAGUGAAUGGAAAGUUGGAAAGUCUCACCAAAUAUUUCGAAUACAUAAACACCAAUUUAAACUUAAGAAUUAAAAAAAUGUAUUAACCAAAACUCUUAGGGGAAAUAAAAAGCUUAAUUGGAGGAUCUCCAUAAUCGAAUGCAGAAGACUAAGGAAAAAGUCAAUGAACUUGAAAACAGAACACGAAUACCUACAUAAUCUGAACUAUAGAGAGAAAGGAGGAUUUUAUUGUCUCUGAACAGAGGCUCAGGCACAAAUAAAAAAUAACAAAUCCAACAUUCACAUUAUUGUAAUCUGGAAAGAAGAGGACAAAGUGGUCUUUGUGGGAUAAAACUUUGAACAAUUAAUAGCUGAAAAUGGUUCAAAUUUGUCAAAAGAUAUAAACCAGAUUUUUAAAGUUCAGUAAAUGUCAAUCAGGAUAAACCCAAAGAAACCCAUAGCAAGGCAUAUCAUAAUCAAACUGCUGAAAACUAAGAAAAUACAAAACAAUUUUGAAAGCAGCCAAAGGGAAAUGAAAGAGAAACUACCAAAUGAAUGAUUGUAGAUUUCGCAUCAGGAACCAUAGGGGCCAGAAAAAAUGUCAUAACAUUCGGAAGACUGCUGGAAAAGAAUUAGCAAAGAUUUGAGAUAAGAAAAAUGAUACCAGAAGGAAACUUAGAACAUCAUCAGUGAAGGAACAAAAGCAGAAAUAGAACAUGUCUGGGUAGACAUAACAGACUAUUAUUCUUCCCUUGAGUUCCUUAAGGAGACUACGGAAAAGAAGAGUGACUAAGAUCUCUGAAGAAGGGAAAAGCUAGAUGACUGGGCCACAAGAGGAAAAAAAGCAGCAAGACAGCUUGAAUGUGAGGCAACUGUGAAAAGUGCAGGGCAGAGCCACCUGGGUAAAUACAGCCCUGGCUUUCUGGUGAGAGGACUGAAACCAGGAUGUGUCAAGUAACUAGAAUGUGCCUGGACAGAUACUGUAGAAAGCAAACCCAUAAAGUUGUUCAUGAGCUUGUGGACGCACCUGCCAGCUGUGAAUAAGUGGGUCUAAUCCCAAACAACUUACCUAAAAAGAGCCUGAGGACUGAACUAAACAAUGGUCCACUUUCCAGUCCUCACUGACCACUGGUUGCACACACUCCAGAGAUCUCUCAUCCGCAGUGUCAAGGCUUUCAAAUAGAGUUAUCUGUGAAACAACAACACAUGGAAGUCUGGUUGGUACUUGGAGCUUAAAUACAAGGCAAUUGUGUGCCUGCAAAAACAAAAAGAGCAAUAUUAUCCUUAAGAUUUCAACAAGACACAGUGUCUCAUCACAUAAUCCAAAGAAGUCCAGGUUACAAGCCCCAAAAUAUUCAGCAUUAUGAAAAACCAGGGAGAUCUUAAUUCACAUGGCAAAGAGAAUCCUUGCAUAACAAUAUUGAGAGGACACAUAUGUCAAAAUCAUCUGACACAUACAUUAAAGCAGUUAUUAUAACAAUGCUCCUAGAAUUACGGGAUAGCAUUCAUGAAGUGAAUGGAAAGUUGGAAAGUCUCACCAAAUAUUUGGAAUAUGUAAACACCAAUUUAAACUUAAGAAUUAAAAAAAGUAUUAACCAAAACUAUUAGGGGAAAUAAAAAGCUUAAUUGGAUGAUCUCAAUAGCAGUAUGCAGAAGACUAAGGAAAAAGUCAAUGAACUUGAAAACGGAACAAGAAUACCUACAGAAUCUGACCUAUAGAAAGAAAGGAGGAUUUUAUUGUCCCUGAACAGAGGCUCAGGGACAAAUAAAAAAUAACAAAUCUAACAUUCACAUUAUUGUAAUCUGGAAACAUUCACAUUAUUGUAAGAGGACAAAGAGGUCUUUGUGGGAUAAAACUGUGAAGAAUUAAUGGCUGAAAAUGUAUCAAAUUUCUCAAAAGAUAUAAACCAGAUUUUUAAAGUUCAGUAAAUGUCAAGCAGGAUAAACCAAAAGAAACCCAUUGCAAGACAUAUCAUAAUCAAACUGCGGAAAAUUAAGAAAACACAAAACAAUUUUGAAAGCAGCCAAAGGGAAAUGAAAGAUAAAAUACCAAAUGAAUGAUUGUAGAUUUCUCAUCGGGAACCCAGGAGCCAGAAAAAAAUGUCAUAACAUUCAGUAAAUACCAAAGGAAAAAUACAUUAUCAACCCAGAAUGGUAUGUGGAGCAAAAGUAUCUUCCAGACAUAAAGGCAAAUAAAUGCAUUCUCAUUGGAAGGUAAAUAAAUACAUUCUCAGUCCUAGCAAAACUGCUGGAAAAGAAUUAGCAAAGGUUUGAGAUAAGAAAAGUGAUACCAGAAGGAAACUUAGAACAUCAUCAAUGAAGGAACAAAAGCAGAAAUAGAAAAUGUCUGGGUAGACAUAACAGACUAUUAUUCUUCUCUUGAGUUCCUUAAGGUAUGUUUGAUGGUUGAAAGCAAAAAUUGUAACUUUAUCUGAUGCAGUUGUCAUUGUAUCUAGAUGUACUACAUACAUAAGAUAAAAGGGUAAAUGUAAUGGGACUAACUCUUGAUGAAGUUUCUAUAUUCAACUUGAAUGGUAAAAUAUUGAUUCUUAGUAUACUGUGAAAAGUUAUAUAUGUAUAUGGUAAUCCCUAGACCACUUAACAACCAGAUUGAAAUAAACCAAAACAAGAUAGACAGAGGAACAUAGAAGAAUUAAAACAAAGGGAAAAAAGGUUAAUAAAUUAUUAAAUAGUAGAUCUAUCUAAAAACUUAUCUAUAAUAACAUUAUAUGUAAAUUAUCUAAAUGCAUUAAGUAAAAACUAGAGAUCAUCAGAAUGUGUUAAAAAUAAAUAUGCUGACUAAAGAAAGCCACCUGCAAUACACUUAUAAAUAAGAAUAAAAGUUAUAGAGCAGAUUGAAAGAAAAGAGUGGGAAAAGAUACCUCAUGCAAGCAUUAAUCAAAGACAGCUGUGGUGUAUAUAUAUAAAAUCAGACAAAGUAGAUUUGAAAGCAGAGAAACUUUUCAGGAAUAAUGAGGCCUCCUAAAUAAUUAUGAUUGUCAAUUUUUCAGGAGAAUAUUGUCCCAAAUGUAUAUGAGGACACAGAGCUUCAAAACUCAUAAACAAAAUUGGAUACGCCAAGUAAAAAUAGAAAAAUCCAGUUAUAGUUGCAGUCAUUAACACUCCUCUCUGAGUAAUUGGAAGAUUUAGUGGAACACAAAUCAACAGACAUACUGGAGAAUUGAACCAUGCCAUCCAGUAAUGGACCUAUCAAUUUCAUAAUGCAAAAUAAAAAUUCAGGUAGAAAGCAAAGACAAAAAUUAAAAGAAAAGCAAGAUCAUGUUAUAAUGAGAAAAUUAAGAGUAGUCCAGUGUAUAGAAGGGUGCUAUUAUUGAAAGAGUUUGAAAUAGUGACUUAGUUAUUUUGAAACAUUUUUGAAGACGUUAUUUAGCUGGAAAUGACAGAAAGACUGAAAAUGGUGAAUGUGGAGGUGGAUCUUCCCUUGUCCAUAUUUAUCUUGUCUUCGUUUGAGGUCUGGGGUGUCUAUACUUCCUCUGAAUUACCUGAUCUUACUACAGUGUCUGGCACAGAGCAUCUCCCCAGUGAAUAUGUACUAAAUGAGUAGAAAGUAAUUGAUAGAUUCAAAAGAGUUGUGCAAGAAUAAUGUUCAUUAUUUGACUAAUCACUGAAUGUGGUGUUUCAAGGAAGACAAUGAAUCAAAGUUGACUUGAAAGGUAAGCCCAGGGCCAGACGUGGUGGCUCAUUUCUGUAAUCCCAGCACUUUGGGAGGCCGAGAUCAGUGGAUCCCUUGACACCAGGAGUUUGAGACCAGCCUAGGCAACACAGUGAAAACCUGUCUCUACAACAAAUACAAAAAUUAGCCGGGUGUGGUGGUAUGCAUCUGUAGUUCCAGCUACUCAGGAGGCUGAGGUGGGAGGAUCGCUUGAACUCAGGAGGUGGAGGUUGCAGUGAACAGAGAACGCACCGGUACCUGGACAACAAAGUGAGACCCUGUCAUAAAAUAAAAUAGUUAAACCCAGGCCAGGAGGGGUGGCUCAUGCCUGUAAUCCCAGCACUUUGGAAGGCCAAGGUAGGCUGAUCACGUGACGUCAGGAGGUUGAGACCAGCCUGGCCAACAUGGUGAAACCCCGUCUCUACUAAAAAUACAAAAAUUAACCAAGCGUGGUGGCAGGCACCUGUAGUCCCAGCUACUCUGGAGGCUGAGACAGGAGAAUUACUAGAACCCGGGAGGCAGAGGUUGCAGUGAGCCAAGAUCUUACCAUUGCACUGCAGCCUGGGCGACAGAGUGACACUCUGUCGAAAAAAAAAAAAAAAAAAAAGUUAAGCCCAAAAAGUAAGUAAGGAAGAGGUUUGGAAUUAGAUAUUUGUUGUAUGAAUGAGUGAGCUAAAGUGCAAAAGAACGGGCAGAAUAACUGAGCUGGUACAGAGGGAAAAAAUCACAUUUAAAAUCUAAAAAUAUCUGCUUCUUAGUUCAGGCUUUCCCACUUAGCAGCUUUGGCACCUUAGGAACACUUAACUUAUCUGAGCCUCUAUUACUUCUAAAAAGUGCAUAAAGUGCAGACUAAGACAGUUUUUUUGGCAAAAUUCAGUCAGACUACAUCAAGUAAACUCCCUAAGUCUCCUAGUAUAAUUCAUGGCACAAAAAAUUGGGGAAAAAACAGGGAGGAUAUGAUUAUAAGUUCAGUUUAUGUUUUUUGUUGAGUGAAUGUCUCCAGUCAUAGAGAUGCAAGUGUAGAUACACAGUAAGAGUAGUAUGAAUGGGAGACACCUUGGAAGGCUAUUUCUUCCUUCCUUCAUUCAGUUGGUCACUCAGUGAACUAUCAUGAAUUGAGCACCGCCUCUGUUUCUUAUCAACAAAGGAGACUGCGGAAAAGAAGAGUGACUAAGAUCUCUGAAGAAGGGAAAAGCUAGAUGACUGGGCCACAAGAGGAAAAAAAGCAGCAAGACAGUUACAAUUGUUUCUGGUCCCACUUUUAUAAACACACACACACACACACACACACACACACACACACACAAAAUCAUUUAAUCAUUUUUAAGUAUUUAAUCAUUUUUUAAAAAUCUGUGAUGCUUUACCUGGGCAUGUCUAGGCAGGUCCUCCUUUGCUAGGACGUGCCCUUUUCUGUCCCGGAAUACUCUAAACUUGGCAUUUUGGCAGCGUGAAGUUUUCCCGUUGUGACUUUCUCCUUGUUCCCUUUUCUCCUCCUUCUUUGCAGACAAUGAGUAGCCACUGCUGUUUGCCCUGGCCCAUCAAUGAGAAGAUCUGCUCUUAGAGCCCUGCUUUCCUGCUGAAGGCCCUGAAAUCACCUGUGUUCCAGGCCACCUGCUAACAAUAAAUAAUGCUGCCCUGAUGUGGGGAAUUAGCUCAAGUGGUAGAGCGCUUGCUUAGCACGCAAGAGGUAGUGGGAUCGAUGCCCACAUUCUCCAAGCUUUAUUAUUUAGACAUCGUGUCUCCAAACACUCAGGUCUCCAAACCCAAGUUAGUGUCUGAGAACAGGAUGCUGCUUUGGUUCAAGACGUAGGAGCAGCAAUAAUAGAGGGCUGGUGAUGGCUCCCUCUUGGCAUUCAGUAUAGUGUAGAUCUACCAUGUAAUUAAUUCUCUGUUUCUUUGAGGAGCUGUGAAACCAAGGGACAUAUACAACUGCUCUUUUCUCCCUGUUUCUACCUGCAGCUUUGUCCUAAAUGUGAGACAAUUAUGAAAAGUGCAGCGCAGAGCCACUUGGGUAAAUACAGCCCCGGCUUUCUGCUCAGGGGACAGAGUUUGAGGCACUGCAGAGGAACCGGCCAAAGUAUGAGACCCAUAUAUUGAGAGUAACAGAGUGUAAAGUUCAAAAAAAUCAAAAUAUUUAAAGAUUUAUCAUGGGUCUUGAUGACAUGAUGGAAUCUCUCUACUCUCUGGACUUAUUAUGUGUGGUAAUAAAUUUACUUUUUAAAAGCCAGUUGAGUGUUUUUAAUGUUGUGGAGCUAUUGCUAAGAGUUUCCUGAGUUUUUUCCAGUAAUGUAGAGAUCUUUGUGCUAAAUAUUUCAUAAAGAAGUUUGG
rnacentral:tRNA from 10 species